GAUGAACGCUGGCGGCGUGCCUAAUACAUGCAAGUCGAGCGAACAGAUAAGGAGCUUGCUCCUUUGACGUUAGCGGCGGACGGGUGAGUAACACGUGGGUAACCUACCUAUAAGACUGGGAUAACUUCGGGAAACCGGAGCUAAUACCGGAUAAUAUUUCGAACCGCAUGGUUCGAUAGUGAAAGAUGGUUUUGCUAUCACUUAUAGAUGGACCCGCGCCGUAUUAGCUAGUUGGUAAGGUAACGGCUUACCAAGGCGACGAUACGUAGCCGACCUGAGAGGGUGAUCGGCCACACUGGAACUGAGACACGGUCCGGACUCCUACGGGAGGCAGCAGUAGGGAAUCUUCCGCAAUGGGCGAAAGCCUGACGGAGCAACGCCGCGUGAGUGAUGAAGGUCUUCGGAUCGUAAAACUCUGUUAUUAGGGAAGAACAUACGUGUAAGUAACUGUGCACGUCUUGACGGUACCUAAUCAGAAAGCCACGGCUAACUACGUGCCAGCAGCCGCGGUAAUACGUAGGUGGCAAGCGUUAUCCGGAAUUAUUGGGCGUAAAGCGCGCGUAGGCGGUUUUUUAAGUCUGAUGUGAAAGCCCACGGCUCAACCGUGGAGGGUCAUUGGAAACUGGAAAACUUGAGUGCAGAAGAGGAAAGUGGAAUUCCAUGUGUAGCGGUGAAAUGCGCAGAGAUAUGGAGGAACACCAGUGGCGAAGGCGACUUUCUGGUCUGUAACUGACGCUGAUGUGCGAAAGCGUGGGGAUCAAACAGGAUUAGAUACCCUGGUAGUCCACGCCGUAAACGAUGAGUGCUAAGUGUUAGGGGGUUUCCGCCCCUUAGUGCUGCAGCUAACGCAUUAAGCACUCCGCCUGGGGAGUACGACCGCAAGGUUGAAACUCAAAGGAAUUGACGGGGACCCGCACAAGCGGUGGAGCAUGUGGUUUAAUUCGAAGCAACGCGAAGAACCUUACCAAAUCUUGACAUCCUUUGACAACUCUAGAGAUAGAGCUUUCCCCUUCGGGGGACAAAGUGACAGGUGGUGCAUGGUUGUCGUCAGCUCGUGUCGUGAGAUGUUGGGUUAAGUCCCGCAACGAGCGCAACCCUUAAGCUUAGUUGCCAUCAUUAAGUUGGGCACUCUAAGUUGACUGCCGGUGACAAACCGGAGGAAGGUGGGGAUGACGUCAAAUCAUCAUGCCCCUUAUGAUUUGGGCUACACACGUGCUACAAUGGACAAUACAAAGGGCAGCGAAACCGCGAGGUCAAGCAAAUCCCAUAAAGUUGUUCUCAGUUCGGAUUGUAGUCUGCAACUCGACUACAUGAAGCUGGAAUCGCUAGUAAUCGUAGAUCAGCAUGCUACGGUGAAUACGUUCCCGGGUCU
rnacentral:rRNA from 1 species